CAAUCAUCACAACUUGCUUCUGUUUUCACCAUUUUAUGAGUCUCUGUGUCUUUGUCAUGCUAACGUCUUAUUCUGUUUAAGGAUUAGGCGUGUUUUGAGCGAAAAGCAGCAAGCACCAACAAUGCCAAGUGUUCUGUUACCGUCGGGAAGGAUUGAGCCCAUUUCUGCCCCCAGCUGAAGGAUACUGUCUUUGGGAACAUUUCUGCAGAGAACGAGUAGGGCAGCAGUGACUUGCAUCUUCCCACCCAUCACCCCACUCUGGGAACGCAGAUGGAUAAUACACUGAUGGCACAUAUCAGCACCUCUUACAAGUAAUCACAAAGCCUCUAUUUCAUGAACCCUCUGAAGAACUGGAGAAAGGUGUGUCCUUCUAUGCAGAGCAUGAGUGUCAGGCCACCAAACUUCAUCUAUCUGGUUGCCGCUUAUCACAAACUUUGACUUAUCGCUGUCACUGAGAACAAACUCCUAACUCUCAACAUGAACUUGGAAAAAAUCAAGGGGUUGGAGAAAAGGGGGAAGAGUGAUUCAUUCCCUUCCUCUAGUGGCACUGAAAAACCUUUUUUCUUUACACCAACAUACUCACAUCAACACCUUAGAGACUCAGAAUUACAGGUUGGAAGGGAUCUUUAAAGAUCAUCUAGUCCAAGUCCCCUGCCAUGGUCAGGGACAUCUUUAACUAGAUCAAAUUGUUCAAAGCCCCAUCCAGCCUGACCCUGAACACUUCCAGUGGGUACCCAGGACUUACCCAGACAAUCAGUCCAUGUCAUAUCUGCAGGCCCUUCCAGAGGGUAAGGAUGCUGCUUCUCGGGCAACGGACAGAGGACCUCUGGAGAUGCCUGUUUCUGCUUGCUGGUUAUAAAGAGACCUAGGACAAUUAGCUUACCUGCAGUAAAUGACUUUGAGACUGUUCAAGUGAGCUGAACUCCUUCCCUCUCCUGGACUGCACAUGUAAAGAUGUCCACAAGGAGCUUCACAAGAUUGCAGAGACUGCUUCAGCAAUGGAUCUAAGCCUUUCUUCAAAAGCUUCCUUGAAGCAGAUGUUUGUCAGCAUGCCCAGCAGCAUGCAAGGGAACUGUGAGAUGAGCUACUUGUUCACCUUCCUUUGAUGUUCUGACUAACCUACUCCCUGUGACCUCUCCUCUAGUCAAAAGGUUACAGAAGACAGACUGGGACCAGGUGAACAUAAGCUACAGGAUCAGAUGAAGAGAAGCAAAGGAAGGACUGCAUGAAACCAGUCAUCUCUGAAUUCGCAGUGGGUGGUGGGCUGCCCCAGGCUAGAGCACCUGUCUGGCCCUGCUUCUGGGCAGACCCUCCACAUUAUGCUUGAGCAGAUGCAGAUAUGGGUUGGAGUUGGUCAGUGCAACAUCCUCAUGCUGCAGAGAGUGUAGACCUGGGGUGUCAGCCUGGCCAUGUCAGGGUGGCUGAGUCAGAGGGUGGGAUGAGCCACACCUCAUGUGCCCCUCCACCAAAGCAGUGAUGCUCAUGAGCAAGCACAGCAAUUUGGUGCAGAGAAAAACGAGUUAUGGCUCUGAUCCCAUCAUGUGACCCUGAUGGGUGGACUCCCACAGGGUGAUCUCACUCUGUCUGCUUACUCAGAGCUUCACAAGUAGCAGAGAAAGGCCACGCUCAGUUAAAACUGAAAUGUGUUUUCAUGCAGCUUUUCCCCCUAGGGCCAGAUGCUGUGGCCCUGACUUGGGCAAAGAUCCAAUUGGAAAUAAUGAAUGUAAUUACCUUGUAAGCACCUUAGUGGAAAAUAUUGGUAUAGUUAAUUACGCCAGGAUGCAAUAGCAGCCCAUUUCCCAGUGUUUAACAUACAAAUACUAAUGCUUUAUCCUUAGGGGUUGGGAGAAGGUUAGUUAUUGCUGCAGAAUUUAUACUUUUUGCAGCUACUGCAAUCAGUUCAAGCAAAAAGGUUCCAAAACUGAUUUUAUCAUCUCUGGCUCAUACUGCACACAACAGGGGUUUUGAGAGCCUUUCCAAAAUUGAGGUCUUUGGCCAUGUCCCUUUAAACAUCCAAACCUGUUUUUUUUUUUUUUUGUUUUUUUGUUGUUUUUUUUAAGGAGGUUUUAGGACCAAAAAGUGAAUUCAGGCUUCUCAAACUAAAGAUAAGAAAUGCACUGUUGUGGUAUCAGGAGAAAUUAACUCUUUGGAGUGGGAUACCUGAAACCUGGGACUUAAGUGCCUUUUAAGAACUCCUGGCUAAACAGUUUAAGUGAAAGUGCCAUUAAGUUUAAGGACCAUGUGAAAUAGCACAGCAAACAUAUGAACUGAGCCUGUACUUUAGCCUUUGAAUCUUCAAAAUGCCAAGCAGGUACUUCCACGCUAUUUCUGAUUGGCUUUCCAGUUCUCAAAUAAGGAGUCUGUUUUUUCUGUUAGUCUGCCAAACAAAACCCCAUUGGGCUGCUGGCAGAGCCCUCUGUGAACGAAUGAACAAAAGCCACUCAAUGUUUUGCCAGCCUUGGUAUUUGCAAACAUCUCUGAAUAAUCCAGCACACACUGGCAGAUUUUUGUAGGCUAGAAAAACAACAGGAUCAGCUUCUUUCUCACAUCUCUGCAAAAGGUGUUGAGAGAGUUUAUGAAAAUAUAAAAUUGUCCUGAGAUUUCCCUUAUAAGCACCUAAGGGGAUUUUUCUAGGGAAAAAAAAAGGGUGAGGGAGACAUUAGCCCUUUGGGAAUGUGCCUUUUUGUUCACAUCCAUAGAAUCAGAGAAUGGUUUGGGUUGGAAGAGACCUUUAAAGGUCAUCUAGUCCAACACCCCUGCAAUGAACAGGGACAUCUUUAAUAAGGUCAAGUUGCUCAGAGCCCCAUCUAACCUGAUCUUGAAUGCUUCCUGGGAUGAGCCUUCUACUACCUCAUUGGGGAACUUGUGCCAGAGUUUCACCACCCUUACUGUACAAUAUUUCUUCCUUAUAUCUCAUGUUAAAUUCAUAAAAUAAAGGAGUUUAAAACUA